GCAUGAUCGAUGUAGCAUUGAGUUAUCCUCUAACAUCGCAAACUCUCUAGCAGUCUGGAAACACAUUGGAUAUCAUCUGCUCUCUAGCCUCCACCUCCUCCGUCUUCCGCUCCUACGCCCACCACAUCCUCUCCUUCCUCCCCCCUUUCCACCUUCUCGAAACUAUAACUACCCUUAACCCGCUAAUCUCUAUUUCUCUAACUAAGUAACACUCCUUUUUUCUUUCUCUCGCAGGACGUUGCCCCUUUUGUUGGCUUCCUCUGACCCUUGCUUUUACCCAUUCCUUACCUCACCGCUUUCAAGGUCGUUUGCACUCGCCUCGACGAUUUUGCCAUCGCCUUCUUGCUUAAAUCAUCCGUGCACAACCUCUCUCUCCACUCUUAAUCUAGUUACUAAUACUUCUGGAAAAAAGGGCUGCUGGUGAUAUUGGGAGUGUUGUUUCAAAUGGUAUACAUUCAAACAAUGUGACAACUUCUAAAGUGCUCUAGUAGGAGACAAUUGAAGAUAGACAGUAAUUACAAGGAAGAGACAGUUCAACAUCUGGUGAACGCCACAUGGAGCUGAUACCACUAUCAUAUCAAGUACCCCGAUAACUACUGGUUAUUGUUAGCACGUGGAUUCUAUCAAUUAUGGGGAGCUGGUGGAAUUUCUCGACCUUUUUCUACAUUGAAUCAUUAUUCAUGACAAAAUAAAGCAAACAACAUUAAAAGGAUGAUUCACUGCCCCCACACGAAAACAACAUUAGAGCUUGAGGGACAAGUACAGCUUCUGCAACUUCUCUUGCUUAGACUUCAAAUGACUAAUGCUACCAAAGCAAUAACCUCCAAAAUCCUCUGUCACCAACCUUGUUGAAAACUUGCCUAACUUUGGAAUACUAUUAGCCAAGGAUGAUUCAGUUUCUGCCCCCACACGAAAAUUCCCUAUUGUCGGUUGUGAAUCCAAAGGCUGCCUCUGACAUCCAUUGGAACGGCACAACCCAAAAGAGGGUGUUUGAAAAGAAGGUUUGUUAAUCUCCUAAUAGGAAAUAAACUUGUCCACACUUUUCAAUUUAUUUUAGAAGAUAUCUGCAGGAUUCUUUUGAAGUAUUAAACUUAUAUCACUUUAAUCCUUUUCGAGUUAUUUAUUAAAUUCUUAGCAGAACAUGGAUUUAGACUUAACUUAAUUCUAUAAAACCAUGAAUAUGAGUGACAACUAAUAGACCAAUUAACUUAAUCCUAUAAAACCGUGAAUGUGAGUCUCAACUAAUAGACCAACUAUUUAAAUAGAAAACUACAAAUACAAAUCCUGUGUAGCAACUAAUCUUCUAUUUAAACAAAGUGGAAAAGAAAAACUGUAAAAGAAAGUCAUUAUCCUCUAUUUUCAUGCAUUAUAUAUGAGGGAUUAUUUUCUAAAGAAAAUACGAACAAGUUAUCAUAACAUGUGACAGUUGGCUAUUUUGUAUUUAUGUCUUUUAUGUAUUUUUCAUUAUCGUGAAUCAGUUAUUCCCAAAAUUUAAGUUGUUCAAGGAUUAAAGUCCUAACCACUAAAUUAUUAAAGCUCCAUAAACUAAUUAUUUCAAAAGCUUAAACUAAAUACAGAAAGGAAAAUCUUUCAGACAAAUUAAUAUAAUUGAGGAGAAUUUGAUUAGAGCUCAUUAACUAUGGGUUUUCAUAUUAAGAGAGAUUAAGAAUUCUCACUAUUUAAUUUAUUUUUAAAUACAUUAAUCCAAUUCAAUCACGCAAAAUCUUUCAUUCAAACUUUUUUCAUCAAAAAGGUUCUAUAGAGCUCCCCAAUUUGAAGUAUUUUACUUUCACGCAAGUAACAGGGUAUAAUGAGCAAUUAAUAUUUCACAGUUAAUUAAGGAUGCAGUUUUAUAUUCAUAUCAUGCAUAAACAUCAUCAAUCUAUAAGCUGUCUUAUUUUUCUAAACGGUAGUAAUAGACAACCAAAAACAAUUAAUGGCCUUCUUUCAAGAUGUAAUCAUUCGAGGUCUUCUGUUUCUGUAAUCAU